rnacentral:rRNA from 1 species
UACGGAGGGGACUAGCGUUGUUCGGAAUUACUGGGCGUAAAGCGCACGUAGGCGGAUUUGUAAGUCAGGGGUGAAAUCCCGGGGCUCAACCUCGGAACUGCCUUUGAUACUGCAAAUCUCGAGUCCGGAAGAGGUGAGUGGAAUUCCUAGUGUAGAGGUGAAAUUCGUAGAUAUUAGGAAGAACACCAGUGGCGAAGGCGGCUCACUGGUCCGGUACUGACACUGAAAAGCGAAAGCCAGGGGAGCAAACGGG